rnacentral:rRNA from 1 species
GAUGAACGCUGGCGGCGUGCCUAAUACAUGCAAGUCGAGCGAACGGACGAGAAGCUUGCUUCUCUGAUGUUAGCGGCGGACGGGUGAGUAACACGUGGAUAACCUACCUAUAAGACUGGGAUAACUUCGGGAAACCGUAGCUAAUACCGGAUAAUAUUUUGAACCGCAUGGUUCAAAAGUGAAAGACGGUCUUGCUGUCACUUAUAGAUGGAUCCGCGCUGCAUUAGCUAGUUGGUAAGGUAACGGCUUACCAAGGCAACGAUGCAUAGCCGACCUGAGAGGGUGAUCGGCCACACUGGAACUGAGACACGGUCCAGACUCCUCCGGGAGGCAGCAGUAGGGAAUCUUCCGCAAUGGGCGAAAGCCUGACGGAGCAACGCCGCGUGAGUGAUGAAGGUCUUCGGAUCGUAAAACUCUGUUAUUAGGGAAGAACAUAUGUGUAAGUAACUGUGCACAUCUUGACGGUACCUAAUCAGAAAGCCCCGGCUAACUACGUG